GACGUAGGGCGCGAGCGUUGUCCGGAUUUAUUGGGCGUAAAGAGCUCGUAGGCGGCUUGUCGCGUCGACUGUGAAAACCCGCGGCUCAACUGCGGACUUGCAGUCGAUACGGGCAGGCGUAGAGUUCGGUAGGGGAGACUGGAAUUCCUGGUGUAGCGGUGAAAUGCGCAGAUAUCAGGAGGAACACCGGUGGCGAAGGCGGGUCUCUGGGCCGAUAU
rnacentral:rRNA from 1 species